UGGGGAAUAUUGGACAAUGGGCGCAAGCCUGAUCCAGCCAUGCCGCGUGUGUGAAGAAGGCCUCUUGGUUGUAAAGCACUUUAAGCGAGGAGGAGGCUACUUGGAUUAAUACUCUAGGAUAGUGGACGUUACUCGCAGAAUAAGCACCGGCUAACUCUGUGCCAGCAGCCGCGGUAAUACAGAGGGUGCGAGCGUUAAUCGGAUUUACUGGUCGUAAAGCGUGCGUAGGCGGCUUCUUAAGUCGGAUGUGAAAUCCCUGAGCUUAACUUAGGAAUUGCAUUCGAUACUGGGAAGCUAGAGUAUGGGAGAUGAUGGUAGAAUUCCAGGUGUAGCGGUGAAAUGCGUGGAGAUCUGGAGGAAUACCGAUGGCGAAGGCAGCCAUCUGGCCUAAUACUGACGCUGAGGUACGAAAGCAUGGGGAGCAAACAGG
rnacentral:rRNA from 1 species